UCCCUUUUCGCUUAGAUAAUGCCAUUUUGGUAAGACUUGGUGGGUUCAAUUUUUUCCUCGUGGAAAAAAUAGUCUGUUUAUAUUUCGGACGAAGCAAGCGUUUUGUUGAAUUUUGAUAACGUCACCGGCCUGCGAAAGCCAUUUUCUCGGACUAGUUAGCAGUGCAUCGUAAGUAGUUUUCAGUAAGCGGCACAGUUGAACCGUCGUCGUACUGUGUUGACGACACGGCACGGCUCCCUGUCCCACCGAACAAAGGAAUAUUAAGGUCGAUGCGUGUUCGUUAUCGCAAGCGGAGCGAAAUAUCUUUUGUGAAAUAGUUUAAAGCUAAACCCAUCGAACGCAAUUUUUGUUACAGCAGUUUGACAUUUUUCGUCAAAUAUAUCUAACCAAUUACCUGGACUCAUUCAGUGCUGUUAGCAACAUUGGCUAAGGUUAGCCGCAAUUGUGGAUAACUAGCGAGCUAACUGCUAACUUUAGCAUUGUUUUGAUUCAAGCAAGUUUUCUUUUUGUGGAAAAUGGCCGAAGUGUAUAUUCGAGUGGCGGAGGAGGAAAACGAAGAACCCAUGGAGAUACCCUCUGAAGACGACGGGACUGUCCUGCUCUCAACCGUGGCAGCUCAGUUUCCAGGGGCGUGUGGCCUACGUUUCAGGAGCCCCGUGUCUCAGUGCAUGCGAGGAGUGCGUCUUGUGGAAGGGAUUUUGCACGCACCAGAAAACGGAUGGGGGAAUAUCGUUUAUGUGGUGAACUAUCCAAAAGACAACAAAAGGAAAAUGGAUGAAAUUGAUGCAUCCUCUGCUGUGAAAAUGAAGAGAGGGGAUAUGAAGACAUCUGACCUGAUUGUACUGGGCCUUCCCUGGAAAACAACUGAGCAGGACCUCAAAGAUUACUUUAGCACAUUUGGAGAAGUCAUCAUGGUUCAGGUAAAACGAGAUGCCAAGACCGGAAACUCUAAAGGAUUUGGCUUUGUGAGAUUCACAGAGUAUGAGGCUCAAGAAAAGGUGAUCUCCCAGCGCCAUAUGAUUGAUGGUAGAUGGUGUGACUGCAAGCUGCCUAACUCGAAGGUGAAUAUGCAAGGUCUGGACGAGCCAUUGAGGAGUCGGAAAGUGUUUGUAGGCCGCUGCACUGAAGACAUGACCACAGAUGAUUUACGGCAGUUCUUCAUGCAGUAUGGAGAAGUCACAGACGUCUUCAUCCCGAAGCCAUUUCGUGCUUUUGCUUUUGUCACAUUUGCAGAUGAUCAGGUUGCCCAGUCUCUCUGUGGAGAGGACCUAAUUAUCAAAGGCGUCAGCGUUCACAUCUCAAAUGCUGAGCCCAAACAUGGAAAUAGGCAGUUUGAUCGCACAGCACGGUUUGGGAAUGGUUUUGGAGCUCAGGCAUUUGGUAGCAGCCGUAGUGGGUUAGGGAGCAGCACUAACAGUAGUCUGGCUAAUUUUGGUUCCUUCAGUCUGAACCCUGCUAUGAUGGCUGCUGCUCAGGCUGCUCUGCAGAGUAGUUGGGGGAUGAUGGGCAUGUUGGCUAGCCAGCAGCAGACAUCCACUUCAGGCAGCACUUCCAGUGGAACAAGCUCUAGUAGGGACCAGAGUCAGUCCUUUGGUACAGGCAACAGCAACUACGGCACCAGCUCGGCCAGUCUUGGCUGGGGAACAGGGUCAAACUCUACAACUAGUGGUAGUGGGUUUAGCUCAGGUUUUGGGUCCAGUAUGGAGUCAAAGUCAUCUGGGUGGGGUAUGUAAGUUAAAUGUUUGUAUGGUAAGUAUUGUGUCGAAGAUGAGUCCUUUCAAAAAUUUAUUUCCGGUGUUGAUGCGUAUCUGAGAACUUAACACUUUUGUGGAAGAUGUUUUGUACAUUUGGAAAAAAUGCUAAAGAUUUAAUUUAGAGUGUUGAAGUGAAUUGUUUACCAGGAUGUCCGACUAAAGUGCUAUUUUUGAUGUCUCAUUUGUUUGUAUCCAUUUCAACUGGAUUCUCUAAUGCAUGCAUUGUGAAAUGUAAUACAACCAUUUUGAAAAUGCAUGAAUGUUUGUGUUUCACCAUUAUGCGGCUUGGUCAUCAGUUUAAAAGGCAAUCUUGCAUUGGGAAGAAUCUGGUUGAAACCUAUGUGUUUUAAGUGCAACUUUAUUUGCAGUCAAGUUCUGUGGAAAAGCCUUCAUUGAAAUCUCUUCUGCAGUUCACCUCUCUUCCAUUUUCCUGUGAGGAAGCUCCUCUUUGGCAGCAUUCUUGGGGUGAUAUCGGUUUCAUUCUCCCUCUUCCCACCAGUAAAUGCUAUGCCAUCAAAGAACGGCUUCACUCCGCAUGUUCUAAGAGACGGGACCUUGGGCUCCUGGUCGAGGUCUCCGUUUGAACCCUGACUGAAGUCUGUUCUGAAGGACGAAGACGGAAGUUCCAACACUUUCAGUGUGUGGCCUUCUCAGACAUGACAUGGGGUAGUACUUGUCUUUUUGCUGCUUUUAAUAGCUUGUCAGAGUGAAUUCUCAGCAAUAUGGCAUCAAUUCUCCAAGAAAUGUUUGUUUUUUUUUCCCCUUGAUUUGAUUGAAAAUAACUAGUGGCACUUUGCUGAGCCUUGGAAUUGGUGAUUGGGAUUUUUAGAUGUCCUUAAACACUGAGUGGCCACUUGAUCUGGUACACCUGUACAGUCUAUUACAAUUCAGUAUAACUACUCUGUGAUAAUUAGCAUUUUUGUUACAUUUAUAAUGUUCAGUUUUUGUUGUCAUGGUCAGAAAUCUAUAAGUUAAUUCAUGUUUUAUCUGUAUUUGCACGCAUGCGGGGGGCCAACAAGACACCAAUACUAUUGCAAUAUCAAAACAAAAUUAUAGCCAUCAUAACGGUUGACUUUAUGGUCAUUAUAUUGGAUUGCUUUAGAUUGUAUAUGUUUACCCUAUGAAGUGGUCACUGGGUGUUUCCUCAAGUGCAAAACGUAUCCCAAUCAUUCUUGUUACAUUUUGGAGAAACAUGGCAGAUGGAUAAUUAAGCAAUCUGAAAAGAUGUAGCAGAAGUUCAGAGUUCUUCUAGUCAGUCUCACUUUACAUACUUUCACAUCAGUUCAACCAUUUUGUUGUCAGACCAGUGCCAAAUGCAGUGUAUUUUGACAUUACAUCAGCAGACCCCAGGACAGAUAACGGGUCAGAAAUUAUUAGCUCAAAAUCUGCAUUGUAUAUAAAACCAAUGUAAUAUAUCAAAUGCCAUAAGAUCUAAUUGUUUGGAAUUUUUCCAGAGUUGAAAUGCAUAGUUCUUAUGAAAGAAUGACUACAGCACCUUUGACACCUCACUCAAUGUCAUGUAUUAGUCUUCAUGUUUAUUUGAAUGUUGGACACAAGUGAGACACUGCAGGUAUGCCUGUGUCUUGUCUUUAUUUCUUUAUUCUCUGCUUUCCUCUUCAGUAUCUCUGCUCUUCCUCUUCCCAGUAUUUUUCUUCUUCAAAUCCCUCUGCUCCUGGUUCAGUUCCUCACUUUUAUUUUGUAUGUAGAUGGACUGAAAUGAAUAAAGCAAAUUAAACAUUAAA